ACAUCCCAACCUAACUCUUUCCUCCUCCUCUUCAGCCUCCUGCUCAGUCUUGCUCAGGAGGAAACUCAUGUUCUCCAGCUUCUCUAGCACAACGUUAGGAGUAGUAUUUAGGGCUCUCUCAGGAGGCACUCCUAAACACCCAGGUCCUCACUUUGAGGAUCUGGAAGAACAGCUUUCAAGGCUCAAAGUGACAUUGUGUUUUCAAAUGGAUAAUGAAGACACACAGCUCUGCAGUCGCCAUAUUCCUACCUCUCUGUGUGCUCACCGCAUUCCUCAAUGCUUUCUCUGAGGACAUGUGACCCACUGUCCACUGGAGACAUUUUCUUUUCUUUUUUUAAAGAUUUAUUUUAUUUUAAUUAUGUUUGUGUAUUUGCGACUCUUGUGGGUAUGCCCAUAUAAGUCCAGUUGCCUGAGAGGUCCAGAGAUGUUCCAAUCCCUGGUACUGGAGUUGCAGGUGGUUGUGAGCCAUUCAGUGUGGGUACUGGGAACCAAACUCUUGGAUGCCUGAUAUCUAAAACAGAUGAAUGUGGCAUGGCAGACAAUGUCCACGAGGUUCUCCUGCUAACCCUGAGGAAUCGUUACAAACUCGAAAGGCUCCUCUUACCAUGGCUUAGAAGCCAUUAUCAGACAGGAUGGCAGAGGGAACCAAAAGCCAUGUGCAUCGCCUCAGCAGCUCUUCAUUCAAGAAUUGCAACUUCUCUUCAAUGACCUGCCCCUGAACUCAAGUUUCCUGGAGCUCCCUCAGAACAGAGGAUGAAGGUGGCCUAGAAUGUCACUGGCUCCCCACUCCAUUGCUCAAUUUGUCCUUCGUAGUUCUCCCCAACAUCCUGGGAGCCUCUGGUCAAAUGAAUUAGGGUCCUCGCCACUCCUUCCUCUAUCCAUCUGUGUGAGGGACUUAUGAAUGUCUAUAGCCUUGAUUUGUUUUUGGCUUGCUGAAGAUUUUAUAUAUAUAUAUAUCUUCUUCAUAAGGUAUAUACAUAUACAUGAAAAUAAGCUAGCUAUAUAAAAGUAUUAAAUUAUUAUGUGUACUUUG
rnacentral:lncRNA from 1 species